UACGUAGGGGGGCUAGCGUUGUCCGGAUUUAUUGGGCGUAAAGAGCGUGUAGGCGGCCAGGUAGGUCCGUUGUGAAAACUCGAGGCUCAACCUCGAGACGUCGGCGGAAACCAUCUGGCUAGAGUCCGGAAGAGGAGAGUGGAAUUCCUGGUGUAGCGGUGAAAUGCGCAGAUAUCAGGAAGAACACCCGUGGCGAAGGCGGCUCUCUGGGACGGUACUGACGCUGAGACGCGAAAGCGUGGGGAGCAAACAGG
rnacentral:rRNA from 1 species